CUCGGGCUACGCCGCUCACACCGGCCGGCAGGCCCAGGAGGGACGACGAUGGCAUGACCCUGUUCCCUGAGCGUUCUCUCAUCAUGCUCCUCGUCUUCCUGUUUUUGUUCGUCCUCGUUGUCGUCAUACUGGCCAUCUCGGGCAUGAACUUCCCCGCUUUUUCAAAGAGCAAGAACAGUUCCUCGUAAGCGGAGCGCAAUCAUGGAGCGGCGAAUGAGGACUUCCAUCGUGCACACUGCAUGCUGUCUCGGCGAGCAGGGGGCUUCCCAACCAUCAGCAGGAGGCGAUUAAAAAAAGGA
rnacentral:lncRNA from 1 species